rnacentral:rRNA from 1 species
AGGCAGGCGGACGGGUGAGUAAUGCAUAGGAAUCUGCCCGAUAGUGGGGGAUAACCUGGGGAAACCCAGGCUAAUACCGCAUACGUCCUACGGGAGAAAGCAGGGGACCUUCGGGCCUUGCGCUAUCGGAUGAGCCUAUGUCGGAUUAGCUGGUUGGUGGGGUAAUGGCCCACCAAGGCGACGAUCCGUAGCUGGUCUGAGAGGAUGAUCAGCCACAUCGGGACUGAGACACGGCCCGAACUCCUACGGGAGGCAGCAGUGGGGAAUAUUGGACAAUGGGCGCAAGCCUGAUCCAGCCAUGCCGCGUGUGUGAAGAAGGCCUUCGGGUUGUAAAGCACUUUCAGUGGGGAAGAAGGCCUUUGGGUUAAUACCCUGGAGGAAGGACAUCACCCACAGAAGAAGCACCGGCUAACUCCGUGCCAGCAGCCGCGGUAAUACGGAGGGUGCGAGCGUUAAUCGGAAUUACUGGGCGUAAAGCGCGCGUAGGCGGCGUGAUAAGCCGGUUGUGAAAGCCCCGGGCUCAACCUGGGAACGGCAUCCGGAACUGUCAUGCUAGAGUGCAGGAGAGGAAGGUAGAAUUCCCGGUGUAGCGGUGAAAUGCGUAGAG